rnacentral:lncRNA from 1 species
CGACAGAAGGUUCGAUAUUCAUUCGAUCGAUGACUGAAAAGGCACAAUGGCAAAAUCGGACGGACUUCUUUUCAAAUACAGAUCUCCGAUGUCCCCCUACAGUCUGCAGUCGCGCGGCUGGUGGUGUGGCACAGACGGAGCAAGGGUUACAUCAAGGCUGUUCUCUGGACCGUGCAAACAGUCUAGACCAAUGACCUGCAGCAUCAUGCCCUUUGAAGAAGAGGCAAGUUCGGUCACGACGAAGAAAAAUCAAGGCGUACCCCUUUUAACAAUAGGGAGCAGCUCGUGGCUGCAAAGAGGUGUCCACCUGCCAUUCAGUUUUGCAGUGGGAUCAUUUGUAUCACUUCACAAAUUGCUGAGCAAGAGAAUCCAACUUUGGGAGCAUGCUCAUUGUGAUACCCUCAGUGAUUUCUGUUUCAUGCAUUCUCCUCAGGGCUGUGAUUUUAACAGACCAGUGAAAGAAAAAAUUUCAAAAGAAAAGGAAACUGAAGAAGUUAAUUGUACCAGAGCAGAAUCCAGAGAAGCUGAACGGCUUCCCGAAGAGCACUGA